CUCAGAUGUUUGGUUCACUAGUGUCUAGCACUGGCCAACAUGCAGAGCUUCAAAGAACUACGAAGGAAUGUCCAGAGGGCUCCUGCCUGGUUGGAGGCUUCAAUAUUUUUGUGGAAUUGGGACCAUGUCUUUUAAGCAGUUGGAAGGAGACAGAAGUUGGGCCCGGUCUUACAGGUCUGCAAUCGUAGCUGCAAUCAUGAGGCUGAGAGUAAUUCUCCAGAACACUUCAAACUCAGAGGAAGAUGCAGACACAGCCUGACCACCCUGUCAUAACCAGCUUUGCUCUGCAGCAUGCUACAUACCUUGCUCCACCUAAAUCUCACUUCCCCAGAAGAUGCCACCAGGAAGACCCCACUGCCUUCCUCUCCACUACCGUGCUGACAGAUCUGAGGGAGAGAACUGUCAAAGGCCUGGCUUGACAGCAUAAAAAACAAUGCCCGGUGAUUGACAGCCUUCUUGUACUGUCAUAGACUAGAAAUUUGUCCCUUCGACGUCUGUAAGCUAGGUCUGUCAUUCCCCA